GUUUGAUCCUGGCUCAGGAUGAACGCUAGCGGUAUGCCUGACACAUGCAAGUCGUACGGAAGUUUACUUCCGUGGCAAACGGGUGAGUGAUGCAUGAGAAUCUACCUCUAAGAGGAGGAUAACACUUGGAAACAAGUACUAAUACUCCAUAUGCCUUCGGGUGAAAGGUUUAGACCGCUUAGAGAGGAGCUCAUGUCUGAUUAGCUAGUUGGUAAGGUAAAGGCUUACCAAGGCGACGAUCAGUAGCUGGUCUGAGAGGACGAUCAGCCACACUGGAACUGAGACACGGUCCAGACUCCUACGGGAGGCAGCAGUGGGGAAUUUUCUGUAAUGGGCGGAAGCCUGACAGAGCAAUACCGCGUGAGGGAAUGAAAGCCUAUGGGUUGUAAACCUCUUUUCUCAAAGAAGAAGAUCUGACGGUAUUUGAGGAAUAAGCAUCGGCUAACUCCGUGCCAGCAGCCGCGGUAAUACGGGGGAUGCAAGCGUUAUCCGGAAUCACUGGGCGUAAAGCGUCUGCAGGUGGGUUAUUAAGUCCUUUGUUAAAUCCUAAGGCCCAACCUAAGUUCUGCAAAGGAAACUAAUAAUCUUGAGUAUGGUAGGGGUAAAGGGAAUUUUCAGUGGAGCGGUGAAAUGCGUAGAUAUUGAAAAGAACACCGAAGGCGAAAGCACUUUACUGGGCCAUUACUGACACUCAGAGACGAAAGCUAGGGGAGCAAAUGGGAUUAGAUACCCCAGUAGUC
rnacentral:rRNA from 1 species